CCUACGGGUGGCAGCAGUGAGGAAUAUUGGUCAAUGGCCGAGAGUCUGAACCAGCCAAGUAGCGUGAAGGAUGACUGCCCUAUGGGUUGUAAACUUCUUUUAUAUGGGAAUAAAAUGUUCCACGUGUGGGUUUUUGUAUGUACCAUAUGAAUAAGGACCGGCUAAUUCCGUGCCAGCAGCCGCGGUAAUACGGAGGUUCCGGGCGUUAUCCGGAUUUAUUGGGUUUAAAGGGAGCGUAGGUGGAUCGUUAAGUAUGCUGUGAAAGUUUGCGGCUCACCCGUGAAAGUGCAGUUGAAACUGGCGGCCUUGAGUGCGGUGGAGGUAGGCGGAAUUCGUGGUGUAGCGGUGAAAUGCUUAGAUAUCACGAAGAACCCCGAUUGCGAAGGCAGUCCACUGGACUGCUACUGACGCUGAGGCUCGAAAGUGUGGGUAUCAAACAGGAUUAGAUACCCCGGUAGUC
rnacentral:rRNA from 1 species